CCAAUAUAGCGAACCGAGCGUUAGCGAGGCUUCGCGAUCAAAUUUGUAUUUAAAACCCAACUCUUUAAAUGUAUAUAUUAUUAUUGUAUUUUAAAUAAUAAAAAGA
rnacentral:misc_RNA from 1 species